AGAAAGAGAAUCGAUUCCGUAAGUAGCGGCGAGCGAAAGCGGAUCAGCCCAAACCAGAGUGAUUUAUCACGCUGGGGUUGUAGGACUAUAAUGUGAGAAGCAACGGAUAGACGAAUACCUUGGAAAGGGUAACCAUAGAGGGUGACAGUCCCGUAGUUGAAAUCCCGCGCCGAUCUAAUAGUAUCCUGAGUAGCACCGGACACGUGAAACCCGGUGUGAAUCUGCGCCGACCACGGCGUAAGGCUAAAUACAAGAUGACGACCGACAGUGAACUAGUACCGCGAGGGAAAGGUGAAAAGCACCCCUGUUAGGGGAGUGAAAUAGUAACUGAAACCGAUGGCUAACAAAUCAGUAGGAGCCGCCUUGUGCGGUGACUGCCUGCCUUUUGUAUAAUGAGUCUGCGAGUUUAUGUCCGUAGCAAGCCUAAGCUGCUAAGCAGUGGAGGCGUAGCGAAAGCGAGUCUGAAUAGGGCGAUUGAGUUGCUGGCAUAAGACCCGAAGGGGAGGUGAUCUUACCAUGACCAGGUUGAAGCGUUAGUAAAAUAACGUGGAGGACCGAACCGGUGUAGCUUGAGAACUGCUCGGAUGAGUUGUGGUAAGGAGUGAAAGGCUAAUCAAACCCCCUGAUAGCUGGUUCUUUCCGAAAUAUAUUGAGGUAUAGCGUCGAGCGCUGACCUGUGGAGGUAGAGCACUGAAUAAGCUAGGGCCCCUACCGGGGUACUGAACUUUAUCAAACUCCGAAUGCCACAGGGUGAAGCUCGGCAGUCAGACUUAGGGUGCUAACGUCCUAAGUCGAGAGGGCAACAACCCAGACCAUCAGUUAAGGUCCCUAAAUGUGGCUCAGUGGUAAAGGAUGUGAUUUUACUUAGACAAUGGGGAUGUUGGCUUAGAGGCAGCCAUCAUUUAAACAGUGCGUAACAGCUGACCCAUCGAGUGAAAUUGCGCCGAAAAUGAUCGGGACUUAAGCCACAUACCGAAGCUAUGGAUUUCAGUUCCUCGGAACUGGAGUAGUAGGAAAGCGUUCCAAGUGCAGUGAAGGAGAAGGGGCAACCGACUCUGGAGCGCUUGGAAGUGAGAAUGCAGACAUGAGUAACGAUAAAGAUGGUUAAAGUCCAUCUCGCCGUAAGGAUAAGGUUUCCUGGGGAAGGCUCGUCCUCCCAGGGUUAGUCGGGAGCUAAGAUGAGGCCGUAAGGAGUAAUCGAUGCACAGAAGGUUAAUAUUCCUUCACCGGCUUGCAACUAUUCCCAGAGUGCGGAUCGACGGACCCUACAGACCUGUUUUGACAAGGCACUGCAAAGCUACGGCUGCGUGGGUGUAGGGAAAGAAGGUUCCAAGAAAAGCUCUGGAAUUACUAUGCAGGUCGCUCGUACCGCAAACCGACACAGGUAUCCGGGAUGAGUAUUCUAAGGCGCGCGAGUUAAAUCUCUCUAAGGAACUCGGCAAAUUGGCCCCGUAUCUUCGGUAUAAGGGGUGCCCCUCUAGGGGGGUCGCAGUUAAUAGCGUCAACCGACUGUUUAGCAAAAACACAGCUCUCUGCAAAGUCGCAAGACGACGUAUAGGGAGUGACACGUGACCAAUGCGAAAAGGUGAACGCCUGGGGUGCAAGCUCCGGGUCUAAGCCCUCGUGAAUGUCGGCCGUAACUAUAACGGUCCUAAGGUAGCGAAAUUCCUUGUCGGG
rnacentral:rRNA from 1 species